GGCAAAUAUAGAGCCCAAAGCCCGUUACAACUAAAUAAGCGCUAGGGUUUAAAUCCUUAUUUUGUUCCAGGCCAGCCGCAUUUCUUUCUCAAAGCGUGCUCUCUCUCCUCAUUUCUCUUCUUCCUCUGUCCUCUUCAUUUUCUCUCUCCUAUUCUCUUUCUUUUUAGAUCCAAACCAUCAAUCAUCCACCUUUUAAGCUUUUUACGCCCACCGUUGAGCCACGAGCAUCCACCACAAAGCCAUGAGAUGUUGGUCCUAGCAUUCAAUUGGUUAAGGUUUUUCAGUUUUAGAUUCUAUUUUAAUUUAGGUUAAAUAAAAAUUUAGUUUUUCUCUUUGAGUUUUUAAUUCAAAUUUCUGAUUACAACUAAUUUGUAUUUUUUGUUAUUACUUAGAUCAGACAAGUAUUUACUUUUUGUUUAUUUUGAGAUAAUUGUUUAUGUAAAUUUUUGUGGUGUGGCGGAUUUUCUGUGUAGUGGUGGUUGGUAGGUAUGGUAGGGGCAAUGGUGGUGAGAAUCGUAGGGGUGGGCGCGCCGGUUGGUCCUAGCAACGGCGACAGUGGGUUAUUUUGUCAUUUAAUGUUUUUUAGUUUUUGUUUUGCUCAAAUUUACAAUUUCAUGUUUUCGGCACCAAAUAUCUGAUUUUUUAUUUUAAUUCAAUUUUUUUCAUAGAAAUUGUGCCUUGUCUAUCACAUGCAGCAAAUUAUUGACUUUUGACAACAUUAAUUGUUAGUAUUUCUUGAAAUUAUAUAGAUCCGUGUUUCUGAGCUUUCAAAUUACCAAUGUGCAGGGGAGGGAACCUGGGUACGAGAUUGAACCCGGGUAUUGUGGCGAUGCGAAGGUUUGGUAUUGAUGAUGAGGAAAGGGAUACCAGAUUGUUGUGGGGUGAAUGAUUUGAAGGUAUGACCCACAAGUUCCUACUUUAUUAGCCAACUUGCUGCUGUAUUUGCUUCGUAAGAAGAUUACUGGGCAUUGGGCUCAGCUUCGUCAACUUGUUAAUCAAUCACUUACUAUGUAGCACAGGUUUUCUUUCACUCUCUUCUACAUUGUUUUUCUUGUAUUUUGUUGGGAUUUUGUUUGAAGAAAUUGAGAUGAUAUGAUAUUGAGUAUGUAAUUGAGGUAUAAGUUUUUUGGUGGGUGAUUGGGGAAUAAGUUUGGUAAUGGGGGUAAUUGAGGAAUGAGUUUGAUGAUGGGUAAUUGAGGAAUUAGUUUGAUAAUGGGUAAUUGAGGAAUCAGCUUGAUGAUGAGAAAUUGACGAACUAAUUUGAUAAUGGUUUGUUGUGAAUUAAUUGUUGUAGUUAGGAUUAUUUUACUUGUAUAUAACAAGUGAUUCAAGAAACUUGUCGUAGUUAGGAUUAUUUUAUUAGUGGAAUAGUGUGCAAUGAUUUACUGGAAAUGGUGAAAUGUAUGUUCUAUGAAGACUUAACUUUUAUCAAAUGGGUUGAUGGUUGGUUGUGGGUUAUAUUUUCUGUAUAAGAUUUGCGGUGAUUUUGAGAUUUAUAGUCGUGUGGGUUGUGAUAAUUGGAAUAUCAACCGAAAUUGUUUGACUCUAUUUAUGAAUGUGAAUUGAAUGAAUGAUAGAUAUAGUAAGGGAUUAUCUUUAUAUUUUGUGAUUGCUUCAGUUUUGUUUAUAUUAGUGUGUUUGUCGAGGUUCUUGUUUCCGAGCUUUUUAGAUUAUAUAAUGAAUUUAAGAUAAUCAUUAAAUUGCCAAAGCAUUCUAGAUAUGCGACUGUCAAAAAUGUCAAAUAUAUUCCAAGACAUGUGAUUGUGUAAAACUUGUAAUCAAUUCAAUACUCCUUAUUGUUACUUUGCCCUCUAAUUUUCCUUUACUGUCGUACCUUCUUAAAUACUUCGUAUUAUAAUAUGCUGAUGUUGUGAAUUUGAGCUACUACUUAACCAAAUUAUUAAAUUUGCGACUGUUGUGAAUAUCUGUUUUGUAAAAUUUCUGCCUAAAUACUUCGUAUUAUAACAAGUACCUUUACAGAUUACAUAUGCUCUUAGCUUUGUUGCUUUUGCAUGCCUUUCUGUAUCGAUUAUAUAGUGAUCAGAGGAACUAUUCCAAGGCUAGAUGUUGAUAAUGUGGUCGAGCAGAAGAGUGAUAUUUCCAAAGCAGUUGCUGAUGACUUGAAAAAGUAAGUUUAGGCAUGUAUAUAGCUGCACAAAUAAUCCUAAAGUCCUAUAUAUAUAAUAAAAGGGUUUUGUUCUAGAGAGAGAAACUCUAGCAUCUCUCUAGCCCUUUGAAGAAGGAUCCCGGUGGUUGCCUUGAUCAGAUUCGUUCUUCAAAGAGCUAGAUAGGGAAGCUUGUUUCUUGUUCUUCAAUUUGUCAAAAUACAAACCCUAAGGGCAUUUGGAACUCGGAUAUGUUCUUCGACCUUCGCUCAAGGUUGAAGAAGGGUUUGUUGUUCUGGUAAGUGUGUUGCGCGAUUUGGCUGCUGGAAGGUGUUGCGGGCCUAAUCGGUUUCCUUCUUCAAUUUUCUGGGUUCUUCGCUCAAAAUUGAAGAAGGGACUGAGUUCGUUGUUACGGCGGCUUCUUUGGUUGAAUCGACUACUGGGCGGUGCUAUUUCCCAGCAGUCAGAUUGUGCUGAAAGUGUUGAUUUUUCUUCUACUGGGAUGAUUCCGGGCUUUUGGGCUUCGAUUUUCAAAUCAAACCCUCGGGUUUCUGGUUUUUUUUUUUUUUUUUUUUUUUUGCUCAAGGUGAUGCUGUGUUCUGUUCUAGUUCGCUGAUUUCUGGCUUAUUUCGCCGGUGACGGGUCUAGUUCAGUGGGUUUGGGGUGCGUUUCAAAGUGGUCGGCGAGUCAGUUGGUUCGGCGGUUGAUUUCAACCCCUUGGUUCGGGGGUUUUCUUGCUUGCUUGCGGGAAUUUGCUUGGAGGUUCGAUUUGGGUUGGUGGCUCUGUUUUGCAGGUUCGUUAGGUUCGCCGGUGACUGGGUUUUCUUGUUUUCUGGUCUAUUUCGCCGGUGACUGGUCUAGUUUAGUGGUUUCGGGGUGUAUUUCUUUGUGGUUGGCGAGUCAGUAGGUUCGAUGAUCGUCUUUCAUCCCCUGAUUGGUGUUUUGUUGUCGGGGCAUUGCUCUGUUUUCUAGGUUUGUUUCUCCGAGGGUUCUCUGCUGCUUGCGGGAUCUCUACUUGGAGGUUGAGCUAGGGGGUUGGUGGCAGCUCCCCUGAUUUGUAUAUUCGUUUGAGGUUGAGGUAAUGUCUCAUGGUUUUGAAAUUGUUCAAACACUCAUUACUGAUAUUGAACCUCCAGAGCAGCCUCGACCUCGUCGAAGAAACAGAGAGAGAAUGCAGCAGUUGGAUUCUUAUGAGUUUGUAUUGUAAGGCUUUGAAAAAUGCACUAAAUGAUUGCUCUGAUUUAAUAAAGAAGAGGAAGUUGCCUUGUUCAGCUUUGAAAUUAUGGAGGUUUAGUGAGAAAAAGAAUGAAGAUGUUUAGUGGAAUUAUUUUGUAGCUUUUGAAUCAUGUUAGGAGUUGUUAAGUCAAUUUGGACAUUAGUGCAAGUUGUAUCUUAAUUUAUAAUUAAUUGAAUUUUACAUUUAUUAUUAUUGGAAAGUAAUAAUAAUUUUAAAGAUUUGGCAUCA